UCCCCGAGCCUGCAGAAUCGUUGCAUUACAGUGCGGGCAAGAUUCCGCCAAGUUUUUUUUCCCCCGCUUGGAUUUCCUACCAGUAGAGCACCAUUCAGUACAGCAGAAUUGCUUUCCCCUUUCGAUGCAAUGAAAUCUACUCGAGGUCAGAUUAUGUUCAGGAUUCUCAACUCCAAAAGUUUGAAAAUGUUGGGAUACCGCUGAAAUCCCUGGACAUUAGGAAUUGUCACUAUAUCGGGGGAAAAUAGCAAUACUGACAAUUAUUUACUGGUAGCAUUAACUGCUAUCAGUGUUCAUAUGGAAGUCAACGCGACAAUGACACUGACCGCAUUGGCUGAUAAUCGAAAUCUACGCUUUCGUCUUCCUCUGGGAUACCGCGGGAACAACAUGUGUCUAGCGAGGAUACCCAGGCAGGACUGUAGCCCAGCAGUUAACGCAUCACUUCUACAGUGCCAGCACAAUCAACGUUGAUUUGAUUUAACGCAAUGACGCAUUUCACUGUGUUUCAAUGUACAUGUGACAAAUAAAGCAGGUGGUGUAACAGCAGCCAAAGACCAACACAAGGGCAAUGGAUUCAUAAAAACAACAGAUUCUGCUGAUGCUGGAAAUCCAGAGCAACACACACAAAGUGCUGGAGGAACUCAGCAAGUCAGGCAGCCUCUAUGAAGAGGCAUAAACAGUCAAUCUUUUGGGCUCAGAUCCAUCAUCAGGACUCUUCAUCAUUGGCCUUGGUCACUGAGAGUAACCAAUCUGAAGAGCUAUGUAUCAUAAUAAAGUUCAGCUCGUAUCAUUUCAACCAAUUGCAUUAUAGACAACCUAAAUGCACAUUUUGUUACAAGGCAGAUGUGUUUUGUGUUUAAGACAAAGAGAUUGGGCAUUUUGGCCAAAAGCGGAGCACCUUGCAUUGUGUUUGCAUGUCAAAAUCAUUCUUCUCCAGCAAGGAAACCAUUUUAAUGGUUGGAAUAUAUGACUAAACAUUACUGCUUAUUUGAAAGCAAAUUUAAUUUUGGAAAAUAUGCUGAAAAGUUCAUUAGCCGUUCUCUGCCUUCUGCUGACCUUCUAAGAUGUGCUAUAGUGUAACUUAGCAAAGAUUUUGAAUGUUAGAAAUGUAUUUUUAUUAAGUCGCUAUACUCUGGAAUGGAUCUUGCAGACACUAUGCUGCUGCUUACACAGAUGUAAACAUCAAACUGGCAAAUGUCAGAAUAAUUUGCAGGUAUCACUCCUGAACAAAUAAAAAUUCUAUUAACCUUCCUCCUUCUAUGAGAACUCUGACUCCUCAGGCUUAGUGAAUUGCAGGCAAGAGCACGUUUCCUCUGAGGGGAGCGAAGGAAUCUGAACACCACAAGGCAACGACGAUGCUCUCUGACGGUGAUUGCUUUGCAUACAAGUGUUGGGCAGAUCUCUCUGCCAAAAUUGACACUUGUGGUAGUGACGUUAGUUCACUAGCAUAAACCAUCAGGGCUGACUUGAUGAGAAUGUCCAGGAAAACAAGGAUCUAAUUAGCGGCAGAUGCAAGCCUUCUCUGCCUUCACCCUCUUCUUUCCUUGGAGUCAAGUUCUUGCUCCACUUCUGUUGAUUGUGAGGUGGUGGGUGAACCCAGCUGGAGACCCCAUGACUCUAUUGCAAGUGGGGCAGCUGGGCUCAGACAGGGUGAAUGAGAAUUGCUGCACUCCUUCCUCUGUUUACAAUGGGCUUCUGUGUCCUCCGACUGAAUGGACUGCAGGUUCCGAACACAACUACGUGUACUCUUUAUCCAGUUUUCAAGGUAAUGGCAGGGAUGUUAAAUUUUCUUCAAGGAAAUUGAAAGGCCCAGAUAGAGUCUGUGUGGAGAGGAUGUUUCCAAGAGUGAAAAAGUCUAGGACCAGAGAGUACAGCCUCAGAACAGAAGGACAUCACUUUAGAACAGAGAUGAGGAGCAAUUUCUUUAGCCAGAGGGUGGUGAACCUCUGGAAUUUGUUGCCACAGACAGCAGGGGGUCCAAGUCGUUGGACAUACUGUAUUUCAGGCAGGGUUGAUCGGUACUUAAUUAGUAAGACCAUCGAAAGUUAUGGGGAGAAGGCAGAAGAAUGGGAUUGAAAGGAAAAUAAGCCAGCCUUGAUCGAAUGGCAGAGUAAACCCAAUAGGCUGAUUGGCUUAUUUCUGCUCCAGUGUCUUAUGGUCUUAUAUAAAGUUGAGAAAGACUUUGAAUUGACUCCUCAGUCCAUGUGGUAAAGUCUGGCUAUGUUGGAGCUUGAAAUAGAAUGUACAUUUUAAGAGUCUGUUACCAGGCUAGCAAACUAAAUGGUCAGUCUAUUGGAGAUGCCUGAGCACAAACUACCCCAACGGUGCUGUCAUGGUUCACUUAUCCUUCCCUGCAGCAUUCUGCAGGGAAGUCCUGGUGAAACAGCCCCUAAUGAAGCUUAAUAACCAGACAUUGAUAGUAACCCUGGGUUUCCUUUCGUAAAAGCAUUCCAAAUGCAAAUGCAGGCCCUAGUAGGCAAUGUCCCAUGUGCACUUGAUAAUCCGAAAUGUGCAUGAAUGUCAGAAUCACAACCAUUACACUUUUGUCUGGAAGAGGACUUAAUAAUUUCUCACAGUCACAGAGACCAUUCUGUAUCCAUGCUAACUGGCACAGUAGGGUCCUGAAUUAAAACACAUAGAGCAAAUACAAGUAACAAAUACUUCGCCAGCAUUAUAUGUGAAACUUGUACUCAGUUCUCUGAAAUGGGAAUCUGUGAUGUUUCUCAUGAUAGAAUUCGUAUUAUAAUUUACUUAAUAUUCCACUAGUAUGAAAAAUUAACUAGAUAAUGAAGGCUUUAUUCUGUAUAACUGCUGAAUCUUGUCUAAGUGAGUAAAUGUUUUAUAUCGGUUUGGUUUUCUGAGAUGCUGCUUACUCAUCCAUUAUAAAAUCGGCCAAUGUGCAACCGUUUAGUUGGCUGAUGGGAAACUGGGUGUUGAGAUUCUAUUUGCUUUUUUAGUUUCAUCCCCCUGAAACAGCUGUUCCUGCUUACAGCAAUUUUCUGUUUAUUGCUGACUGUACAUAUUUUGUAACUUGAUAAUGUAAUUGCAAAGACAACAAUGUAUUGGAAAUAUGAUUAAA